rnacentral:misc_RNA from 1 species
UCUCCGUUGGUGAACCAGCGGAGGGAUCAUUACCGAGUGCAAACUCAUAACCCUUUGUGAACCUAUAUCUGUUGCUUCGGCGGCUCGCUCUCGGGCGAGCCCGCCGGUAAUAUCAGUAUCUCUGUUUGAACCCGACGAUACUUCUGAGUGUUCUUAGCGAACAGUUAAAACUUUUAACAACGGAUCUCUUGGUUCUC